rnacentral:rRNA from 1 species
UACGGGGGGAGCAAGCGUUGUUCGGAUUUACUGGGCGUAAAGCGUGUGUAGGCGGUUCGUUAAGUCGGGUGUGAAAUCCCUGGGCUCAACCCGGGAAUUGCAUUCGAUACUGGCGAGCUAGAGUACGGUAGAGGGCGGCGGAAUUCCGGGUGUAGCGGUGAAAUGCGUAGAUAUCCGGAGGAACACCGAUGGCGAAGGCAACCGCCUGGGCCUGUACUGACGCUGAGACACGAAAGCGUGGGGAGCAAACAGG